GGUACGACUUCCACCUUACCAUUGCGAUUUAAACCCAAUUGAAUUAAUUUGGGGGAUCGCUAAGCAUAAAAUUGCAUCAAAUAAUGUGUGCUCAACUGAUAUAAAGAUGGCAGCUCAGCAAGCAUUUGAAAGUAUCUCUGUGGAAAAUUGGGUAAAUUCAUGCAGACAUGUUAUGAAAAUUGAAAAGGAGUAUUUUGAGAGAGGCAGAACUUUAUACACUGAUAUAGAGCAAUUAGUCAUUCCUGUAAAUGAUGACAGCAGCAGUGAAGAGUCAUCAGAAUCCUGUUAUUCUGACAUAGCAGGAACGUCAACCCAAGAUGCUGUCUUCUCAGGUGUAGAAUACGUGGAUGAAUAAUUUGAUUCUGAUUGAAUAAAAUCACUGAUAAUCAA